CAGAGCCGCGGGAAUACAGAGGGUGCAAGCGUUAAUCGGAUUUACUGGGCGUAAAGGGCGCGUAGGUGGUUAUUUAAGUGAGAUGUGAAAUCCCCGGGCUUAACCUGGGAACUGCAUCUUAUACUGGGUAACUGGAGUGCAGUAGAGGGUAGUGGAAUUUCCGGUGUAGCGGUGAAAUGCGUAGAUAUCGGAAAGAACACCAACGGCGAAAGCACUCUGCUGGGCCGACACUGACACUGAGAGACGAAAGCUAGGGGAGCAAAUGGGAUUAGAUACCCGCGUAGUCCCUGUCUCUUAUACA
rnacentral:rRNA from 1 species